UACGGAAGGGGCAAGCGUUGUUCGGAAUCAUUGGCGUAAAGGGCGCGUAGGUGGUUCUGUAUGUCUACCGUGAAAGCGUACGGCUCAACUGUAUUUUUGUCGGUAGAAACUGCAGGACUUUGAGGCUGGGAGGGGGCUGGUGGAAUUCCCUGUGUAGCGGUGAAAUGCGUAGAGAUGGGGGGAGAACACUCGUGGCGAAGGCGGCCAGCUAGACCAGUUCUGACACUGAGGCGCGACAGCGUGGGGGAGCAAACAGG
rnacentral:rRNA from 1 species